rnacentral:rRNA from 1 species
AGUGAACGCUGGCGGCAGGCCUAACACAUCCAUGUCGCGCGGAUUACGGGAGCUGGCUCCUCGAUUCAGCGGUGGACGGGUGAGUACUGCCUAGGAAACUGCCUGGUAGUGGGUGACCACGUUCCGUAAGGAACGCUAAUAACGCAUACGCACAACGUGAGAACGUUUGAGACCUUCGGGCCGUGCGCUAACAGAUUAGCCCAGGUCGGAUUAGCUAGUUGGUGGGGUAAUGGCGCACCAAGGCGACGAUCCGUAACUGGCCUGAGAGGAUGAUCAGUCACACUGGAACUGAGACACGGUCCAGACUCCUACGGGAGGCAGCAGUGGGGAAGAUUGGACAAUGGGCGAAAGCCUGAUCCAGCCAUGCCGCGUGUGUGAAGAAGGUCUUCGGAUUGUAAAGCACUUUAAGUCGGGAGGAAGGGCAGUAAGUUAAUACCUUGCUGUUUUGACGUUACCGACAGAAUAAGCACCGGCUAACUCUGUGCCAGCAGCCGCCGUAA